GAAGAGGUGGUGAAGCCCAUCAAAAUUAAACAACUUGACCAAGGCCAUGCGAGGAGCCGGUGGCAGAGCAGGAUCAUUCCCCAGCUUUAAACACAUCCCCUAAACGACAAGCCAGGAUUUUCUCCCUCCUUUCUGGAUUGAAUUUUGAUAAGUGCUAGAAACAAAGCAAAAAAAAAAAGAGCUGUACCCAAACCCACCAAACCCCAUGGGAUCCUUUCGGCCUCCUCUGCCCAGUGCCACCAGUCAGUCCCAAAAGCACCACCAGCAUGUGCUGCGCCUUUCCCAUUGUUUCCCCAGGGCUUCAAACCAGAAAGGCAAGUUGAUGAAAAAAAUUCAGUCCAGGAAGUAAUGCAAAAGGCAGGCUUAAUUAUACACAUUGGGUAUUGCCUCUCCCUGUUCCAUUAAUCCAUAGAGCUAGGUAAUGGUAAAUUAGGUCAGAUUAUGUGAGCGCUGAAAUAAAACCCACAGGCGAAAUUCCUCGCAUCCACACCUCCUUUACCUCUGAGGUUGCAUAAAUGUUAAUGGGUGCUGGAUCUGUCUGCAUUGCUUUGGUGGAGCUGCAGUGCUGAGUUUUCAGAUUUCGGCUGUUUUGGCAUAGGAAUAACCCCGCAGCAUCAUUAAGGCUCAAUUCUCUCUCAUUUUCUUUGCAUUCAUUUUCAUGGCCCUCGCUGACAUCACUGCGGUUGAUCUGUUACAUGUAAACCUGUUAUGCACACGCUGGCUAUGAAACGAAUACCUUGGUAAUCUGGAGUGCUGCCCACGUGAAUCAAGGCAAAAAGAGAUGCUCUGAGUUACUAAAUUACUGAGUUACUGAGUUUUACUAACGGAGCAGGGAUUAAUGUUCUUGAUUUUCCAGUACUAAUCCACCUACUGGCAUCUCGGUGUGCUCAGCAAGGGCUUAAAACCAGGGGAUGCCUUAUGCUGAUGUUCAAAUAAGUGGGUCAGUCCACCCCAAAGACAAAACAAUACUCUUUGCUUAUUUUUAUGGCAUUUGCUAGUAUAAAGAUAAAAAAUAACUGGAACACAUCAGGUUUCCUAGCAGCUGAUACUUCCCUGUGGCCGCCUCUACCUGGGAGCAUCAAAAAACAUGCCCAUGUGGGCAGGAAAAUCCCGGGCAUCUUCUGAGGCUGCCUUAGACCUAAGGACAGUCCUGGGGAGUGAGGUCCAGACUCACUGUUUAAAAUUUAUUUUAAGGGCUUUGAGCAUUUCUAAGGAGGGAUGGGGCUGGCAGGGCUGGCGGUGGCCAAGCACCGGUGUGCCGGGCUGCAUCCACGCCUCGCGGGAUGGGGGAUCGCUGUUCCGGGGCGCGCUGCUCACCGAGCGCUGGCAAUUCGGACAGCAGCCCCCGGUGCGUGCACACCCCCGCGCCGAGCAAAACCCCUAACUACCAGCCAGCCGGAACAGUAAGGUAUCACCUUGUUUUCUGUGGCAACGCAGUCGGUUUGUUUGAAAAGGGACACCAGAAUCACAGAAUCACGGACCGCUGGAGCAAGGCCAGCGCAGAGCUGCCAAGGGGAUCAGGGGCUGGAGCAUCUCCCUUGUGAGGAAAGGCUGAGAGACCUGGGUCUGUCCAGCCUGGAGAAGAGAAGGCUGAGGGGGGAUCUCAUCAGUGCCUAUAAAUAUCUGAAGGGUGGGUGUCAGGGGGAUGGGGCCGGGCUCUUUUCAGCAGUGCCCAACGCCAGGCCAAGGGGCCACGGGCACAAGCUGGAACAUGGGAAGUUCCCCCUGAACAUGAGGACAAACCCCUUCCCUGUGCAGGUGCCAGAGCAGGGGCACAGGCUGCCCAGGGAGGCUGUGGGGUCCCUCCCCUGGAGACAUUCACCCCCCGCCUGGACGCGGCCCUGUGCCCCUGCUCUGGGGGUGCCUGCUCCAGCAGGGGUGGGACGGGGUGCGCUCCAGAGGGCCCUUCCAAACCCCGCCAGUCUGUGAUUCUGUGAUUCUAUAAUUCCUGCAUGAAAACCGUCCUUCCUCCAGCGCAAGCAUCUGGCAACACAAGCUAGUGAAAAACAAAACAAAAGGCUGUGGGGACAUAAAGUUCAGGCUGGUUGUACUGCAAAUAAGAUUGCGAACAUAUGUCCUUAACGACAUGCAUUUGCUCUGGUGACUCUUCUAAAGCGAAUGCUUUACACCACGCCAUAAAUGGCUGCCUUUUCCCUUCCGCAAUUAAAAAUACAAUUACCUGCUGCUGAACACCUGAAUUAAAAAAAUAAAAAAUGUCCUGUGAUUUGCUGCUAUACGGCAUCGUGCUGCUGGAGGUGAAGUAGCGCUCCCCUUCCUCGCUCCCAGUUCAGCACCCGCGGCUGGCAGCCGCGUGACGGUGGCAGCAGGUUGUGAAAAGGAUAAAACUCACCCUAAAACAAGGUGUCGCUCAGCUGUUAGAGAACAUGUAGAUUUGGAAAGCAAAAAAAAAAAAGAAAAAAUAUAUAUGUAUCUCACUGGAUCUUGUAGAUAAGCCAUAAUUUCUGCAGUUCCCAGAAGGUGUCCGCCUCCCAGCAUGACACUCCUGCCUUAUCGGCAUGGGUGCAGCCGUGGUGUCCUGCACCUCCUGCCCGGCAAGAGGCCGCGAUAAGCAAAACUGGGCCCUCCUAAUCAGCUGCAGAGUGCCAGGCAGAUGGCCUGGGGGCUGUAGGCACCUUCUUUGGGCAGAGACUCAUGAAAGCUGGGAGCAUUUCACUUCAUUUCGCAGGUGGUUCCUCAUUUCUUGUUCUGUUUCUGGCAGCAUGUUAUAUUUCUGCUGUUUAAAAGCUGCCCUAGGGUGCAGAAGCCCCUUAAAGAAGGUUACAUACAGUGAGGACUCAGAUCAGCGGGUCUGAUUCAUCACUUUAUUUAGCUGCUCGCAGUGAUGCAAUGUGCGUGCGGAUUGCGGCAGUGUAUUUCGCAUCGACUUGUCAGUGUAUAAACGAGCGUGCUCUGCGCAGCCUGCAGCCAAACUGCACUUUUAACGGCACAAAAAGCUCUGCCCUUCGCUGCUCCUCUGCCCUGAUGGAGCCUGGGGCUCGCGGAGCGCCUGGGGGACAUGCUAAGCCCAGGGGAGCUCCGGAUGGGGUCCACUGGGAGUGGUUGUGUCCUGGGAGGCAGCGAGGGGAUCAUUGCACAAGACCGACUGGUUUCAAGGGAAGGUUCUGUGAAUCGAGUUGAGUUCGCUUUGUUGAUGACCUGCGAGGGAUGACUCUUAUUUGCCACGCGAGGCAGGGAUGGCAGGAAACCAUCCAAGAGACACAGGCUGUUUCUUUUCCUGCUGGUGGGAUGUGUGACACGACAAAACCACAAGCCAGACCAGACUCCCUGCCCCAUUUGAUGAAUAAUUUUGUCCCUUCUUCACGAACACGGGGAAAAUCCUCAGUCCGUUCAUCUCUGCUUUGGCACCUCUGGCUGCAGCAGCUCCCUGCGCCCCGGGGUGGCCCCUGGCGCGGGGUACGGAGCAGGAGCAGAAAGGAUUCCUCAUGCCAGUGCUCCUCAGGGUUAAAAUAUAACCUGUUCCUACCUGGAAACAGCACGUAGUAUUUCAGACUAAUUCAUACUAUUUCUUAUCGGUGAGCAAGACCUAAGACUGUAGGGGAAAGGGGUCAUCAAGGUUUUAGGACAGUUGAUGACGCCUGGUCUCAUGGGACAAUGUGAUGGCUGGGACACGCCAGGACCGUGGCCAGGUCUCACCGCCGGCUCUCCCAGCCCCCGUACAAGCUCUGCUCCAGUGCCGCCGCGUUCCCACGGAGGAUGGAGGCUUCCCAGCACAAACCCUGGGGCAGGAGGGAAGAGGACAGCACGUGCCAGCGCUGGGCCCGAUCCUGCUCCGCUGCAGCCCCUCUCCAGGGACCCGGACGGGAGGCGAGCAUGAGAGCAGACUAGGCGUUUCUCGCCUCGUGUGUCUGCAUUUCAUGGUUAACGGGAAAACCAAGCACUCUAUUUUUUGCUCUUUUGGGCCUUCAGAGGAUGGUUUUAUCUCUUGCUUCCCAGGGCUGAAGCAGCAAUAUGUUGCUUUGGAUUACCAUGGUGCUUGAUGCAACUGGUUAACCUUGGUUUCAGCACACGCUGCACAACACCACCCUCCCAGCAAGGUUGAACUCCAAAUAAUCCUUCAAGGAGGAAUGAAAUAAAGUUAAUGGUGUUCCCGGAGCCCUGCGCCGCAAAGACUUUGCCCCCAUCUCCUUCAGAGCGUCAAAUUUAAUUGGUUUGGGCUGAUUUCAUGGUGGAACAAAAAGAUCAUACAAAACACAGGGGAAGAGGAGUGUUCCGGGGUGCAGGGGCACAGGGUGAGCUUGCUCCUCCUGCAGACAGGCCAGGAUUAAUGGCUCUGCGGCGCAGCAGGAGCUGUGGCGAGGGACGGUGGAUGCUGUGGAUCCCAUCUGCCCAAAAAGCCUUUGCAGGGAAGGGCAGAAAGCUCUUCUAAGCCCUUCCACCAGCUUUUCUUCCCCACGCCGAGGCUCAAGCCUGUGCAGAGCGGCUGAU